AUGCGUAUGUUGAGAUGGAUGUGUGGCCACACGGGGAAGGAUCGAGUCCGGAAUGAUGAUAUACGAGAUAGAGUUGGGGUAGCACCAAUUGAGGAGAAGCUUGUCCAACAUCGUUUGAGAUGGUUUGGGCAUAUUCAGCGCAGGCAUCCAGAAGCUCCAUUGCAUAGCGGACGGCUAAAGCGUGCGGAGAAUGUCAAGAGAGGGCGGGGUCAACCGAAUUUGACAUGGGAGGAGUUCGUUAAGAGAUACCUGAAGGAUUGGAGUAUCGACAAAGAGCUAGCUAUGGACCGGGGUGCGUGGAAGCUUGCUAUCCAUGUGCCAGAGCCAUGA
rnacentral:rRNA from 1 species